GUGGGUGUCUUUGGUGGCCAUGAAUUCCAACUAUUAGAGCUAUGAAGAAACCAGACAAAACUCUCUUCCCUCGUGGAGCUUAUAACCCGAGACACCAUGAGAGAUUCAGCAACUUGUUACUUUACGUCAACAUUGUGGAGUGGGGCCAUUCUCUGGAGCAUGGAAACCUACCAGGGCCCACAGCCCCAAAGAAAAGUGACUCUCACCCCAACCUGCAAUCAUCACUUGCCAACAACUUCUUAUCUGGAGGUGUGGCCUUGGAUCCCUGUCUCCACACAUGCUGGAAUUUUACUGAAUGAGAGCGAGACCUACAUCCUUAGGGAAUAUGAGGUCCAGUGACCUUAGUGACCCUCCCAGUUCUAUGGAUGGUGGCCAUAAAGUGAUUUCUGCCAACUUUGGGAAAAGCUACUGAGGGAUAAAAUGAGGCCAUUACAGAGUUAAUCUUUUCCCAGAAUACUUGGAACUCUAGAAGAAUUAAUUUGGUUCC
rnacentral:lncRNA from 1 species